ACUAAUCCAAGAAUUAGAAAGUGUGUCUACAUAAUCUUUAUGUAUAAAUAGAGCAACAAGGUUUGCAAUAUAAGGCAUUAAACACACACACACACACACACACUAAACACAUAGAGGAAAUGGCAGCCAAUGGGGUUCAACUGUUUGUUACUAUAAUAGCUUUCUCUCUCAUCUUCUCUUCAUUUGAUCUCCCAAUUUCAAGUAAAAUAUGCUUCUAACUACUCUUUCCCUAAUUGUCUUAGUUUAAGAAUGUCAUGUUUUAAUUUCAACAUUUUUAAAUUAAUUAUCAUCUUUUAUAUAUGUUUAUUGUCAUUGUUAUUACAGGAGCUUUCCAAGCUAUUUCUUCAUCAGAGGUGAAUUAAUUUUAACCCGAAAAAAUUCAUAUUAUUUUUUUAUUUUAUUUUUAAUUUCUUGGAUCAAAUUUUUAUAUUUUCUUGAUUAAUGGAGACAGGUGGAAGAUCAUGAGUUUGUAUUUCAGAGAAGAAUGGAGUUUGAAAUCAACAGAGACUACCCUGGAUCCGGAGCGAAUAACCGUCACACCCCGAAUCCACCGGUUAAAGAUUAAUUCAGAAUUGCAGCUAAUUAUUAAUUAAUAUGAAUAGUGUUCAAUUCUUAUGUAUGUAUAGCACAUUGUAGUAUAUCAGAAAACCUCGUAUUGCACCUUUCGAAAUCGACAACAAGGUUCGAUAGAGUAUUUCAGUUCGAUGGGCACGAAAAUUUAUUAAGGAUGAUAUUCCGAUGUGGGAAAAAAUUAAAAUCAUCAAGAACUGGAUCUAGUUUUCAGCUUCUUAGCAUGCAGUUCUUCAUUUUGUUUAUACAUUUCGAUGAACUCUUUGACGAUCGGAUUAAACGCUUACGGUACGUUACGACUAAUAUAAUCACGCAAGAUGAUUUCGGAGAUCGAAAGUCAGGAAAGGGAUGAUCAGGGAAUCUAAUUAAUUGGAAAGAUAUUUUAAUUUAAAUUCAGACAAAUUAAACAAUUAAAAUGAAAAUUGUCUUAACGUAAACUAUCCAUUGAAGAUUGGAUAAAAAAAAAGAAAAAAA
rnacentral:lncRNA from 1 species